rnacentral:lncRNA from 1 species
UCGAAGUAAAUGAUUUUCUGAAGGUCGGUCUCCCAGAAAGCAUUUGCUCUGGUUUUUUGUUUUGUUUUAUUUUCGUGUUUUCCCAGUUAGGGAAGGGAGAGGAGCCUGUGCAGAGUUGAACUGGGGUGGAGAGGUGCGUUGUAAAGUAUGGUUUCCAGAGACGGUGAGACCUCGUCGCUAAGCGUUGUUUCCUCUGCAUGUAACUUACAAGGAUGUCUGCGUGGAUAUCCCUGGACACUCGAUACCCCCCGGGGACCUGCUCUUCCCGCAGCUCCGCAGACGCGGCAGGAGGGCGCGCUGGCCCCGGCGCUGCUGGGACAGAGGUGGCAAAAGGAACAUGAUGGUUCCUGCACAUCCUGGCAUGCAAAUGAAAGGUGGUCUGUCACAGGUUCCCAAGCAGGAGUCCUGAGAUACACCUUGACUGGACCUGGGAUUGAGACGGGAGGAAAACGAAUGUUCACUGUAAGCUGGAACAUGCUGGAAGCUGUUUAA